AUACGGAGGGUGCGAGCGUUACUCGGAGUCACUGGGCGUAAAGCGUCCGUAGGCGGUCGGGUAAGUCGGGUGUGAAAGCCCCGGGCUCAACCUGGGAAGUGCACCCGAUACUGCUCGACUCGAGUGCGGGAGAGGAUGGCGGAAUUCCCGGUGUAGCGGUGAAAUGCGUAGAGAUCGGGAGGAACACCAGUGGCGAAGGCGGCCAUCUGGCCCGCACCUGACGCUGAGGGACGAAAGCGUGGGGAGCAAACAGGAUUAGAUACCCUAGUAGUCC
rnacentral:rRNA from 1 species